GUCAACCCGGCUCCAGCCCAGGGCAGGGCCGCAAUUCCAGGCCCAGGGUGGCUGUUGUAACUGUGACGCUUUCCCCACCUUCCACUGUUCUCCGACUUGCCCUCAGCGGUCGGGUAUGUGGAAACACACAGAAGCCCAGGCAAGCCCUGCCCGCUGAAUUGUAGCCCUGCUCAGGGAGAGGACAGGAAUCAAAGGCAUGCUGCAGGCUUCCUGUUUCCUCACCAUUGUGUGGACAGAAUGGCUUCUCUUACAAUGUUCUGGCAGCAACCCACGACCCGGGCCUGUGCCAAGAAUUGAUGAAGAGAUCGGAUUCGGAGCAGCGCUCUGCACCCAGAACUCUGGUGUCCUAGGACUCCCUGGGCACAAAGCUGACCACCCACCGUGGGCCCCGCAGAGGGAGGCCUGCUCCCCGCCGGGAGAUGGAGCAGACCCGCGGAAGCUGGUCCCUCCCGCCCCGCCGCUGCUGCGGGUCCCUGGUGCGGGGCUGGGUUUUGUCAUCCGAGGGCAUACGACCACUCUCUUGCACUUUUCCUCACACGUGAUCUCUGUUGCUUGAAGCCAACCAGAAGCUCUCUUGGGGCAGGGACCCUGCGUAUUUCCACGUCCAUCUUCCCCGUCAUCAUAUCCCCACCACUUAGCACAGUACCUGCCCUCAGUAGAGACCUGAUGAAAAUGUGUGAAAUGAAGGAAAGAUGACACAGCUCAUCGGAGCCAGCUGUGAUACACCUCAGCAGAGCCGUGACCUUCUCUUUCUUCACACGGGACCUCAUUCAUGGCCUAGCUGCAGCACCCAUCACACGUGCUUUCAUUAUGUGUUGGUUGUCUAUCUGUCCCACUAGGUUAUGGGCUGCUUGAAAUUAAGACCUGUGCUGUAUUUACGUCUACAUCUUCAGGCCUGGUACAUAAUGGGCACAAUACAGAAGCUUUAUAAAUGAUAUUUGAAUAAGCCACUAAAUUAACAGAAUGAAUCCUUUCACUUGG
rnacentral:lncRNA from 1 species